ACUCCUACGGGGAGGCAGCAGUGGGGAAUAUUGCACAAUGGGCGCAAGCCUGAUGCAGCAACGCCGUGUGAGUGAAGAAGGUUUUCGGAUCGUAAAACUCUGUCCUAAGGGAAGAAACAAAUGACGGUACCUUAGGAGGAAGCCCCGGCUAACUACGUGCCAGCAGCCGCGGUAAUACGUAGGGGGCAAGCGUUAUCCGGAAUCACUGGGGCGUAAAGGGUGCGUAGGCGGCUUAGCAAGCCAGGGGUGAAAGGCAUUGGCUCAACCAAUGUAAGCCUUUGGAACUGUUAAGCUUGAGUGCAGGAGAGGUAAGUGGAAUUCCUAGUGUAGAGGUGAAAUUCGUAGAUAUUAGGAGGAACACCAGUGGCGAAGGCGACUUACUGGACUGUAACUGACGCUGAUGCACGAAAGCGU
rnacentral:rRNA from 1 species